rnacentral:lncRNA from 1 species
AUGGGGCGCGGGCCGCUCCCGUGCCCUAGCAGGACGCCGGGCCACGCUGCCCGUGGGACCGCCGGACGGAGGCUUGGCGGCAGAGACCCCGGAGAGAGAGAGAGACUCCAUCCCCUGGAAAGAGUGGCGGGUUCCGAGCUUCCCCGGGACCUCAGGGGGCUUUUCCUACCCCGGGAAUCGGGGCUGGGCUCCUGGACUCAUUCUUCGGGGGUAGCCCGGGCCGGGCGGGGGGACCCCGAGGUCCCGAGCUUCUGCCUUCUCGGGCGGGUCCCCUCUCUUCCCGAGGCUUCGCCUCCUCUCAUUAAACAGACCGAGACCGGCAGGAGAAGCAAGUCCCCGGGACCCAGGGCCCCCACCCCAGUAGGAUGGGACAACCAUAAUGAUAACAGCAAUGACGUGUCAGACGCGUACUAUGUGCCGAGCGCCGAGAAGCAGCGUGGUUCGGUGGGAAGAGGACGGGCUUGGGAGUCAGAGGAUGUGAGUUCUGAUCCCCGCUCCGCCACCUGUCUGCUGGGUGACCUUGGGCCAGCCACUCAACCGAAACCCAGGGAAGUUCCCUCAUCCGGAAAAUGGGGACGAAGCCGUGAGCCCCACGGGGGUCAAUCCGAUUACCUCUUAUCUACCCCGGGGCUUAGAACGGUGCUUGACCCACGGCGACCGCUGAACGGAUACCUUCAUUAUUAGUAACAUUAGAAGCGGAUGAGAGUGUGAGCCCCGUGCGGGACAGGGAGCCUGUCCGGUCUUAAACCCCAUCGUACAGCGGAGGUAACAGAGCCCGUAGAAGCGAAGCGAGUUGGCGAAGGUCACCGGGUGGAGAACCCCGCGGGUCCUCCUG